rnacentral:rRNA from 1 species
UUUGAUCCUGGNUCAGAACGAACGCUGGCGGCAUGCCUAAUACAUGCAAGUCGAACGAAGGCUUCGGCCUUAGUGGCGCACGGGUGCGUAACGCGUGGGAAUCUGCCCUUGGGUUCGGAAUAACGUCUGGAAACGGACGCUAAUACCGGAUGAUGACGUAAGUCCAAAGAUUUAUCGCCCAAGGAUGAGCCCGCGUAGGAUUAGCUAGUUGGUGAGGUAAAGGCUCACCAAGGCGACGAUCCUUAGCUGGUCUGAGAGGAUGAUCAGCCACACUGGGACUGAGACACGGCCCAGACUCCUACGGGAGGCAGCAGUAGGGAAUAUUGGACAAUGGGCGAAAGCCUGAUCCAGCAAUGCCGCGUGAGUGAUGAAGGCCUUAGGGUUGUAAAGCUCUUUUAACCCGGGAUGAUAAUGACAGUACCGGGAG